rnacentral:rRNA from 1 species
UACGAGAGGCGCAAACGUUAUUCGGAAUUACUGGGCUUAAAGAGUUCGUAGGCGGCGCGGAAAGUAGGGUGUGAAAGCCCUCGGCUCAACCGAGGAAUUGCGCUCUAAACUGCCGUGCUUGAGGAACCUAGAGGUGAGCAGAACUGAUGGUGGAGCGGUGAAAUGCGUUGAUAUCAUCAGGAAUACCGGAGGCGAAGGCGGCUCACUGGGGGUUUUCUGACGCUGAGGAACGAAAGCCAGGGGAGCGAACGGG